AAAAAAAUAAAAAUAAAUAAAAAAAAAAAAGUAUAGGCUGGGAUAAGUGAGUGAUUCAGUGUUAGCUUUAGUGUCAAUAGAACUUGCACUGAAAUAUUCAAUUUUUUUCCCACAGCCCUGGACAACUUUCAGGAAGACAGUUCUGAUCUGUAGCAAUUAACACAUGGUCAUCCUCAGAGAAAGGAGAUACCCAUAGCUUAAAAUACAGGAACCAAGAACUUUGAGCCUAGACAUUUGGAUGAAAAGUGAUUUCCACCUGGAGAAAGUCAUUGCCCUUCUGUGCAGAGCUCCAGGUAGCUAUAGGGAAAUUGAGGCAUAACUGCUGUGUCCACCAGCCCGAAGUUGUUCCAGGGACAGCAGCAACCUCAGGAGGAGGCCAGAGAUUGGCCAAUGGAAAGGCAGAAAGCAGAGACUCUCCACCCAGGCGGAGGCACCAGAGGGCCCAUGGAGGGAAUGGACAGCUGGCGUUAUGGUCCCCCUACGUUUUCCCAAGACUCUUCCAGCUGCCUAAUGGCCAACUGAGGCUGCUCCUUGACCUUGAGUACAAAUGGCCCUCAUGCCCAAACAGCCACCUGACCAGAGCCAACCGACAACCUCCUGUGAGCUUCUCAGCCCCAGGCUGGCUCUGCAGGUAAGAGACAGACAUUAUGUUGAGGCCAAUGUAACCCGUGCCAACCAGCGUGUCGAGAUUUCUGCCUAGUUUUAUUGUUGUGAACUCCAGAC
rnacentral:lncRNA from 1 species